GGUUGGUCCGUGUGCGGUGAUGUUUGAGACUAAUUGAUCACAACCAGUUACAGAUUCCUUUGUUCCUUCUCCACUCCCACUGCUUCACUUGACCAGCCCUUA
rnacentral:Y_RNA from 1 species